UAACGCAUAUGUGCUGGAAUGCUUUAUGCGUCAAACGGAUUCGUCUGCCCAAGGAUGGGUCUGCGGCCUAUCAGGUAGUAGUGGGUGUAAUGUACCUACUAGCCGACAACGGGUACGGGUUGUGAGAGCAAGAGCCCGGAGAUGGAUUCUGAGACAUGAAUCCAGGCCCUACGAGGCGCAGCAGGCGCGAAAACUUUACAAUGCGGGAAACCGUGAUAAGGGGACACCGAGUGCCAGCAUCAUAUGCUGGCUGUCCGGGUGUGUAAAAUACACCUGUUAGCAAGGGCCGGGCAAGACCGGUGCCAGCCGCCGCGGUAACACCGGCGGCCCGAGUGGUGAUCGUGAUUAUUGGGUCUAAAGGGUCCGUAGCCGGUUUGGUCAGUCCUCCGGGAAAUCUGAUAGCUCAACUAUUAGGCUUUCGGGGGAUACUGCCAGACUUGGAACCGGGAGAGGUAAGAGGUACUACAGGGGUAGGAGUGAAAUCUUGUAAUCCCUGUGGGACCACCUGUGGCGAAGGCGUCUUACCAGAACGGGUUCGACGGUGAGGGACGAAAGCUGGGGGCACGAACCGGAUUAGAUACCCGGGUAGUCCCAGCCGUAAACGAUGCUCGCUAGGUGUCAGGCAUGGCGCGACCGUGUCUGGUGCCGCA
rnacentral:rRNA from 1 species